AACCAUACAGGCGUGGGGUGAAACCAAACCACGCCUGUAUAAACAAAAAUGGCGUCUCAAAAAUGGAUUUCCAGACCUGAAAAACCGCCAGAAAAAUGGGCAACAAUAGAUAGAUCAAAUGCUAUAGAAGCCUGGGGCAGAAUGAGGGAGACGACCAAUCAGCACUUUAAGUUCACACCAAGAACCACUGCUUAUUGUGUGAUAUGGGCAUUACUAGUACCAAUAGGAAUAUGGAAGAUCAUAAAGUGGGAGAGACAAUAUAAAGACAGAGCAAAAGGUCGUCCUCCAAAAGAUUUGUUCUGAGCUUUGUUCUGAGCUUGGUUCUGAGGACGACACAACUAGACAAACUUUACAAUUAAACAGUCAAACACAUAUUGAUAGAGUUUAGUGUAUUACAUUAUAAUUUAAUGAUAUUGUUAAACUAGUUUUUGAAGUGAUGACCAGCGCAUUAGAAAA